rnacentral:rRNA from 1 species
AAAAACAUGUUUUUUUGUAAAAAUAAAAAAUCGUACCUGCUCACUGAAUAUAUUAAAUUAAAGAGCUGCAGUAUUUUAACUGUGCGAAGGUAGCAUAAUACAUUGUCUUUUAAUUAGGGGCUUGAAUGAAUGGUUUGACAAUAUGAUAACUGUCUUUUAUGUUCAUCAAAAAUUAAUUUUUAGUGAAAACUCUAAAAUAUAAUUAAAAGACGAUAAGACCCUAUAAAAUUUUUUCUUCAUAUUACAUAGACUAGGUAAAAUUAAUAAAGAAGAUAGGUUGGGGCGAUUUUUAUAAACAAAAAAACUGUAAAAUUUUAACCCACUUCUCAGUGUUAAAAAUGACCUGUAUUUUACAAUUUUUAAAUAAAAUUACUUUAGGGAUAACAGCGUAAUUUUUUUUAGAGACCUUAUCAAAAAAAAAGUUUGCGACCUCGAUGUUGAAUUAAGAAUUCUGCCAGGAGUAGCAUUUUGGUCAGAAAAUCUGUUCGAUUUAUAAAUUCUUACAUGAUCUGAGUUCAAACCGGAG